UACGACUACAUAUCAGGCAUAUCAAUAAGCGGAGGAAAAGAAACUAACAAGGAUUCCCCUAGUAACGGCGAGUGAAGCGGGAAGAGCUCAAAUUUGAAAUCUUAAAGGGUUUCCCUUUACGAAUUGUAGUUUAAAGAAGUAGUUUUCUGUUGGAGUUUCGGUAAAAGUUCUUUGGAAUAGGACAUCAUAGAGGGUGAGAAUCCCGUAUUUGACCGUUACUUUCCAGCUGUGUGAUACACUUUCAAAGAGUCGGAUUGUUUGGGAAUGCAGUCCAAGAUGGGUGGUAAAUUUCAUCUAAAGCUAAAUAUUGGCGAGAGACCGAUAGCGAACAAGUACCGUGAGGGAAAGAUGAAAAGAACUUUGAAAAGAGAGUUAAACAGUACGUGAAAUUGUCAAAAGGGAAGCGUUUGACACCAGUGUUGUUUAGUUGUAAAUCAAUUCAAUAGUUUUUGAUUCUAAGUAGUAUUGACUUCAUCAGCUUGCUGCUUUCUUCUCAGAAAUUAUUGAAUGCACUUUUCAGUUAACAAGUCAACAUCAAUUUCUUUUGUUGUAAGAGGGUAAGAGGAAGGUGGCUUGCGCUUCGGCUCAAGUGUUUAUAGCCUUUUAUCUCUGCAAUCGGAGAGAUUGAGGUCUGCAGCGUAGAUCCUUCGGGGUUAGAUACAUUGGUGCUAAGCUAUAGCCUUGUAUAGACAACUUGUUGACUAUGCUCAGUCAUGUAGUUUACUCGCUGAUGCUAUUUUACCUACGCUUAGGAUGUUGAGUAGCGACAUACGCAC
rnacentral:rRNA from 1 species